AGGGCACCACCAGGAGUGGAGCCUGCGGCUUAAUUUGACUCAACACGGGAAAACUUACCUGGUCAGGACACUGGAAGGAUUGACAGAUUGAGAGCUCUUUCUUGAUUCAGUGGGUGGUGGUGCAUGGCCGUUCUUAGUUGGUGGAGCGAUUUGUCUGGUUAAUUCCGAUAACGAACGAGACUCUAGCCUACUAAAUAGACUGCUCAACUUUAUAGCUGCAUCACCUUGCAGUGGCUUCGGUUGCUGUAAGGCUGUGGUGACGUUGGCAGUGCUUCUUAGAGGGACAGGCGGCGGUUCAGCCGCACGAAACAGAGCAAUAACAGGUCUGUGAUGCCCUUAGAUGUCCAGGGCCGCACGCGCGCUACACUGAAGUGAUCAGCGUGCAAUUAACGUUUCCUACUCCGUCAGGAGUGGGUAACCCGUUGAACCUUCUUCGUGAUUGGGAUAGGGGAUUGUAAUUAUUCCCCUUGGACGAGGAAUUCCCAGUAAGCGCAAGUCAUAAGCUUGCGUUGAUUACGU
rnacentral:rRNA from 1 species